rnacentral:rRNA from 1 species
UGGUGGGUAGUUUGACUGGGGCGGUCUCCUCCUAAAGAGUAACGGAGGAGCACGAAGGUUGGCUAAUCCUGGUCGGACAUCAGGAGGUUAGUGCAAUGGCAUAAGCCAGCUUGACUGCGAGCGUGACGGCGCGAGCAGGUGCGAAAGCAGGUCAUAGUGAUCCGGUGGUUCUGAAUGGAAGGGCCAUCGCUCAACGGAUAAAAGGUACUCCGGGGAUAACAGGCUGAUACCGCCCAAGAGUUCAUAUCGACGGCGGUGUUUGGCACCUCGAUGUCGGCUCAUCACAUCCUGGGGCUGAAGUAGGUCCCAAGGGUAUGGCUGUUCGCCAUUUAAAGUGGUACGCGAGCUGGGUUUAGAACGUCGUGAGACAGUUCGGUCCCUAUCUGCCGUGGGCGCUGGAGAACUGAGGGGGGCUGCUCCUAGUACGAGAGGACCGGAGUGGACGCAUCACUGGUGUUCGGGUUGUCAUGCCAAUGGCACUGCCCGGUAGCUAAAUGCGGAAGAGAUAAGUGCUGAAAGCAUCUAAGCACGAAACUUGCCCCGAGAUGAGUUCUCCCUGACUCCUUGAGAGUCCUGAAGGAACGUUGAAGACGACGACGUUGAUAGGCCGGGUGUGUAAGCGCAGCGAUGCGUUGAGCUAACCGGUACUAAUGAACCGUGAGGCUUA